rnacentral:lncRNA from 1 species
ACAAAUCCUACUUAAACCUUUCCAUUCUUCUCUUUCUCCUUUCUCCCCACUCUUUUCCUCUCUCUAAGGAAAGAGAAGCCGUUAGAUCAUCAAGAAGUGAGCUGAGACAACUUCAAGUUCAGCACCUACGGGAGUUGGAACCAAGGGAGAAGUGUCUCUUCGAAAAGUCAAAAACAAAAAGAAGGAAGAAAGAACAUGCUGGAAGCAGAGCAAAGAAGAGAGGCUUAUGUUUCCAUACAAGAAUUUUGGGAUCCACGUGGAGUGCAAGAGGUUGGAAAAGGAGGUCUCAAAAAAUAAAAUGUUCGGUGGGGCGCAGUGGCUUACGCCUCUGAUCCCUGCACUUCGGGAG